AAUUGCAUCUUUCUAGUUAGGAUGCAUUAUUAACAUUAUUACAAAUAAAGGAAAGAAUAUUUAUUUUUAUAUAAAAAUGGGAUGUGGAAUCCGAGCCCCUUGAGACUCGAGGCACUUGUUCCGCGGAGCCGCGGUGUAUACGCCACUGGUUAAAUAGACGCCCCAAUCCUUUUGAUGGUUCGCCAAAGGCUCCGGAAAAAACGGAGACAACGCCGUCCGACUGGGCAUAGGCUCGGCUCGAAGCUCAGACCCCGUACAAAUAUGACGAGUCAACCUCAAAUCCGCUUGAGGUUGACUCGUCUCGGGUGUCUCUCGCACUCGUCUCGACAUAUUUAUACGCAGCUUAACAUCUACAUAAUGAAACAAGAGUGAAAAGUAAAAUUUUACACCUACGUAUCCUAUUGGCUAGGUGGUUUCAAAAUGCUACCACUUAGGAGCGAUAUUUUUUUCCUUUUUUUUUCGUUUGAUCGGGGGUUAAAUUGUCAACGAUAAAUAACAGUUUUUGUAAUGUCAUUGUACACCUAAAAACUAAAUUUGUCCGGUCCUAAAAAAUGAAUAAUUCCCGGUUAAGCUAUGAAAGACCAACCUAUUAUUCCCAAAACGUUUUAGUAGGAAAUUGGUUUGAAGAAUCGGUAGGAAAAUAUACCAAAAAACAAUGUAGACAUAAUACAUCUUAUGAAACAGAUUACAUCCCAAAAUGUCCUGUAGACAAAGAAUUCAAUGAUACUUUUCGAAGUGACAUACAAAUAAAAUCUGAGUUUGGUGAUAAUAUAUCUCCUCCUAAAAACACAUCCCAGAGCCAAAAUUAUUUCGAUAACUAUACUACAACUUAUGACUUAUCAUACCAGUAUUUUCCCGAAUGGAUUCAAGGAACAUUGACACGUAAAAUGAGAGUUGCAUUACUAAAGCAUGAACCAACUGAGGAAUACUUAAAUAGCUAUGUUAGUUUACGUUUGUUAUUUUAAAUUAGUGGAAAAAGGUUAUUCAAUUAAAUUAAAAGAGGGAAAUUUAUCAAUAAGAAGUGAUAUGAGUAAAAAUAAAACUCAUGAAUGGAAAUGUGAUGUAUUAGAUCCAAGAAGAACCGUUCUAACAACCAAUCAAACCGACUAUAAAAAAUAUGAUUCGCCUUAUUACAAAUCCCAUAGAUGGGUAAAGCCAACACCCAUUAAAGUCAGAUGUGGAAACGCAGUUAAUUUGGUUUUCAAGCAGUUUCCUUCAAAUCAUCCAAGAAAUAUAUGGACCAAGUGUAAUCCAAUAACAUGGGAAUGUGAACAGGAUAGAAUACCACAAGAAAAAUGCGUUUGCAGUUCAUAAAACAAACAGUUUAAUGUACAAAUUCAAAAAAACUCAUGAUCACAAAAAUAUAUACAUUUAAAUAUUA